AACGAACGCUGGCGGCAUGCCUAACACAUGCAAGUCGAACGAGACCUUCGGGUCUAGUGGCGCACGGGUGCGUAACGCGUGGGAACCUGCCUUUAGGUUCGGAAUAACUCAGAGAAAUUUGAGCUAAUACCGGAUGAUGUCUUCGGACCAAAGAUUUAUCGCCUUUAGAUGGGCCCGCGUUGGAUUAGCUAGUUGGUGGGGUAAAGGCCUACCAAGGCGACGAUCCAUAGCUGGUCUGAGAGGAUGAUCAGCCACACUGGGACUGAGACACGGCCCAGACUCCUACGGGAGGCAGCAGUGGGGAAUAUUGGACAAUGGGCGAAAGCCUGAUCCAGCAAUGCCGCGUGAGUGAUGAAGGCCUUAGGGUUGUAAAGCUCUUUUACCCGAGAUGAUAAUGACAGUAUCAGGAGAAUAAGCUCCGGCUAACUCCGUG
rnacentral:rRNA from 1 species